rnacentral:rRNA from 1 species
GCUACCCAACAAAGGAAUCUUAGUUCCACUUUAGAACCAAAAAUACACAAUAAUUAUCUAAAGACAGUCAAUAGGGGUACAGCUCUAUUGAAACAGGAUACAACCUGAAUUUGAGAGAAACCUAAAAAAGACCGACCAGUAGGCCUUAAAGCAGCCACCAAAAACAAUAUCGUUAAAGAAUUAAUACCAAAAAUCUAAAAACCAACUGAAAUCUCCAAACAAACUAAAGGUAAACCCAUAAUAAUGGGAUUAAUUAUGCUAAAACUAAUAAUAAGACGACCUCUCUACAACGCACCCAUCCACUAGAAACGGAUAAACCACUAGUCAUUAACAGACCACAACAGGAAACAAAUUAAUCAAUACCCACCUUCACAUACACUGUGACCCCAACACAGGUGCGUUAAAAAGAAAGAUAAAACAUUAUAAAAGGAACUCGGCAAUCAAAAACCCCAACUGUUUAACAAAAACAUAACCUUUAGCCCAAACAAAUAUUAAAGGCAACGCCUGCCCAGUGAACAAUUAAACGGCCGCGGUACCCUA